rnacentral:misc_RNA from 1 species
GAUGAAGAACGUAGCGAAAUGCGAUAAGUAAUGUGAAUUCCAGAAUUCAGUGAAUCAUCGAAUCUUUGAACGCACAUUGCGCCCGCCAGUAUUCUGGCGGGCAUGCCUGUCCGAGCGUCAUUUCAACCCUCAAGCCCCCGGGCUUGGUGUUGGAGAUCGGCGAGCCCCCCGGGGCGCGCCGUCUCCCAAAUAUAGUGGCGGUCCCGCUGUAGCUUCCUCUGCGUAGUAGCACACCUCGCACUGGGAAACAGCGUGGCCACGCCGUAAAACCCCCCACUUCUGAAAGGUUGACCUCGGAUCAGGUAGGAAUACCCGCUGAACUUAAGCAUAUCAAUAAGCGGAGGA